GAAUAAAAGUAACUAAAAUAUAACUAACGUUUAUCAGAGUUAACUGUUAUCUCUAGAACCAAACGGCAAUAAUUCAAAUGAUAAAAAAAAAUAACCGUGUUAAAAUUUAUAAUAUAUUUUUUUAAAUAGUACACAUUUUUACGAUACAUUUAUUAUGACAAAAAACCAACAUGUUCAUACGACGACAACGAUAAUUAUUGUAUGAUGGUAGUCGUCUGAAGACAUAAAAAGCUUAUCGGUAUGCUUAUUCAUUAGAGCGGUUCGAUUCCUGAAACUAUCUCUAAUCUGAUUAAAUGUGGUAACAGUUUUAAGAUGAGUCAAAGAUGAUGGUUGAACAGUUCUCCAUUGACACAUUUUUAAAGAUGUAGUAAUUAUAAGAAAAAACGAAACAAUAAAUAACAACACAAAUUUGUUUAGACGUGUCUUAAAAAGAUAAAUAAAAUCCCCAAGCUGUUAUGUACUAAAAUUUGCAGGAUACUUUUGUGUGGUAUUAAAACUUUAACUUCAUUGUAGAGAUUUGAUUAUCGCUAAGUAAAUGGCCAUGUUAAAUGAAUAAGUACUUAGAUGAAUAAAAUAUGGGCUAUGCCAUCUUCUAUCAAAUAUGGACAUUUUCAA